ACAGAGGCGGCAAGCGUUGUUCGGAAUUAUUGGGCGUAAAGAGCACGUAGGCGGCCUUGCAAGUCAGUUGUGAAAGCCUUCCGCUUAACGGAAGAACGGCAUCCGAUACUGCAUAGCUUGAGUGUGGGAGGGGAGAGUGGAACUUCUGGUGGAGCGGUGAAAUGCGUAGAUAUCAGAAGGAACGCCGGCGGCGAAAGCGACUCUCUGGUCCGAAACUGACGCUGAGUGUGCGAAAGCUAGGGGAGCAAACGGG
rnacentral:rRNA from 1 species